UAGGGAAUAUUAGAAAUGGACGAAAGUCUGAUCUAGCAACACCGCGUGUGCGAAGAAGGCCUUCGGGUCGUAAAGCACUUUUUGGAAGGAAUAGGAAGGAAUGUACUUCCAGAAUAAGUCUCGGCUAACUACGUGCCAGCAGCCGCGGUAACACGUAGGAGGCAAACGUUAUCCGGAUUUACUGGGCGUAAAGCGCGUGUAGGUGGUACUGUAAGUAGGGCGUGAAAGCUCCUGGCUCAACUGGGAGAGGACGUUCUAAACUACAGA
rnacentral:rRNA from 1 species